AACGAACGCUGGCGGCAGGCCUAACACAUGCAAGUCGAGCGCCCCGCAAGGGGAGCGGCAGACGGGUGAGUAACGCGUGGGAAUCUACCUAGUUCUACGGAACAACUCAGGGAAACUUGAGCUAAUACCGUAUACGCCCUUCGGGGGAAAGAUUUAUCGGAAUUAGAUGAGCCCGCGUUGGAUUAGCUAGUUGGUGAGGUAAUGGCUCACCAAGGCGACGAUCCAUAGCUGGUCUGAGAGGAUGAUCAGCCACACUGGGACUGAGACACGGCCCAGACUCCUACAGGAGGCAGCAGUGGGGAAUAUUGGACAAUGGGCGCAAGCCUGAUCCAGCCAUGCCGCGUGAGUGAUGACGGCCUUAGGGUUGUAAAGCUCUUUCAACGGUGAAGAUAAUGACGGUAACCGUAGAAGAAGCCCCGGCUAACUUCGUG
rnacentral:rRNA from 1 species